CACCCUCUGCCCCGCCCCGGCCCCGCACCCGCCAUGGAGAAGACUGAGCUGAUCCAGAAGGCCAAGCUGGCCCAGCAGGCCGAGCACCACGACGACAUGGCCACCUGCAUGAAGGCAGUGACCAAGCAGGGCGCCGAGCUGUCCAACGAGGAGCGGAAUCUGCUCUCCGUGGCCUACAAGAACGUAGUCCGGGGCCGUAGGUCCGCCUGGAGUGUCAUCUCGAGCAUCCAGCAGAAGACCGACACCUCCGACAAGAAGUUGCAGCUGAUAAAGGACUAUGGGGAGAAAGUGGAGUCCGAGCUGACAUCCAUCUGCACCAUGGUCCUGGAAUUGUUGGAUAAAUAUUUAAUAGCCAAUGCAACUAAUCCAGAGAGUAAGGUCUUUGAUCUGAAAAUGAAGGGUGAUUACUUCCGGUACCUUGCUGAAGUUGCAUGUGGUGAUGUUCGAAAACAAACCACAGAUAAUUCCCGAGGAGCUUACCAAGAGGCAUUUGAUAUAAGCAAGAAAGAGAUGCAACCCACACACCCAAUCCGCCUGGGGCUUGCUCUUAACUUUUCUGUAUUUCACUAUGAGAUUCUUGAUAACCCAGAGCUUGCCUGCAUGCUGGCUAAAACGGCUUUUGAUGAGGCCAUUGCUGAACUUGAUACACUGAAUGAAGACUCGUACAAAGACAGCACCCUUAUCAUGCAGUUGCUUAAAGACAACCUACCACUUUGGACAUCAGACAGUGCAGGAGAAGAAUGUGAUGCGGCAGAAGGGGCUGCAAACUAAAUCCAUACAGGGUGUCAUCCUUCUUUCCUUCGAGAAACCUUUUUACACAUCUCCAUUCCUCAUUCCACUUGGAUUUCGUAUAGCAAAGAAAUCCAUUCAUGUGUAUGGAAUCAACUGUUUAUAGUCUUUCCACACUGCAGCUUUGGGAAAACUUCAUUCCUUGAUUUGUGUUUGUCUUGGCCUUCCUGGUGUGCAGUACUGCUGUAGAAAAGUAUUAAUAGCUUCAUUUCAUAAAAACAUAAAUCAUUCCCAAACACUUAUGUAGAGGACUAAAAAUGUAUCUGGUAUUUAAGUAAUCUGAACCAGUUCUGCAAGUGACUGUGUUUUGUAUUACUGUGAAGAUAAGAAAAUGUAGUUAAUUACAAUUUAAACAGUGUUCCACAUAACUUCUUAAUUUCUACAUUCCCUCCCUUAGUCUUCAGGGAUUUCCUUUCAAUGAGUAACUUUUCCAUGUUCUUAAUGUAUUCCUUUUUAG